rnacentral:snRNA from 1 species
UCACUUUAGCGUGCAUAUACUAAAAUUAAAACAAUACAGAGAAGAUUUGCAUGGCUCCUGAGCAAGUCUAACAUAACAAAUUUGUGAGACAUUCCAUAUAUAU